rnacentral:lncRNA from 1 species
GCCUCACUGAAAAUGUUACUCAUCCCAGGAAUUUCUCGUUACCUUUUAAAUUAUCUUCUCUGCCUUAGGUCUAGGUGUUACCUAAAGCCUUGGGAAUUAUUCCAUGGAGUGUGACUUUCUCUUCUUCAUGCUCAACCAAAACUUCUUCACUCAUGUUAUUUUCAUAACUUUUCCACAAAUCAGCUUAUGGUCAGAAUUUCUUACAUCAGUUCCCCUUGUGCUUCUUAUUGAAUACCAGGUGAAUAUCCUCUAGACAGACAUUUCUAUUAUGUGUAUAUCUAUUCUACAUGUUGAGUACCCAAAUCUUCUACACUGAGUGCAAGUGCAGUUUAAUGAAAUGUAUUUCUCUAUAGAAGCCUCCCCAAGCAAUAGAGGGGACCUUAGAUAGAUAAGACAGUGAACCUAUGUGUUAGGACCAAAAAAAAAAAAAAUAAAUAAUCCUGGCCUUGAUAGGUGUUCAUUUUGUGCUGGGCACCAGAGGUCAAUAUUAUUAGGCUUAACAAUGUUUAGUCAGGGUGCUUUUGAUCUACAUUUCAUCCAUGAAGGAUUUGCAUCUACAAUUGCUAUUUUAGGUAGUUUUAUAUGUGUUGGAUCCUGGUUCUAAUGUUUCAUAAAACCUUGGAGCCUUCAGUGUUGUAUCAUGAUUCUCAGGUCUAUCUGAAUCUCUUCAUUCCUAUUCAUAUAAAAGAGAGCAGAGAAAUAGAUGUCAGUUUUGCACAAAACCCAGUGCUUUUCCCAGCAUUUCUAUCUUCACUGAUAUUGUUUCAUCACAGUGGCCCUGUUGGAAAAGUAGUAACCAUUCACAUCUUAGGACUCAGAAUGUAUAGGUUUUGAUGGAGGGCAGAUUUUGCCCAAUGUCACAGUGCCAGUUAGACUCUAAUUAUACUGUCCCUAUGUAUUCCAGGAUGCUUGUCAGGGACCUGUGAUAGCAGGUGGGGUUAGUCUAGAAAGACAGGGACACUAUUGCAAAUAGAGGAAUUAGUAUGAGCAAAGGUGAAGGUGGAAAUGUAUGUGAGGAGGAACUGAGUAAGGACUUUUGGGGAGAAGCUAAAGGUGUGAUGGGGUGAAGUUGAAUGGAUCUUUGACUCUGUACCAUGAUGGAAGUCCAUCAGGAGAUUCUCAGUACAGGGGUAAUUUACUCAGCUGUGAAUUUUAGCAAAAAAUUCCAGGCACAGUAGUUGAUGUAGUAGAAAAAGUGUUUAGUUAAGGUGAACAGGAUGUUUUCCUUUUAUUCUUGCUCCUCCUGCCUGGGGAUUAUUUCUGGCUUUGGUGUUUUUCUUCAUUCGCUCCAGCUUGGAAUCCUUCUGUUAUUUCCCCCAUUCAUGCUAUAGUGAUCUCAUAUGACCAUGCCCCCCUACCUCAGCACUCACACUUUUUUAAAUUAUACAUGACAGUAGAGUCUAUUUUGUAUUUCGACACACUUUAUAUAUGCAUAGAAUAUAUAUUAUUCUAAUUAGGGCCCCAGUCUUGUGCAUGUGUACAAUGAUGGGAUUCACUGGUGUAUUCAUAGAAGUAAAUGAGAAAGUUAUAUCAGAUUUUUACCUUUCCUAUUCCUAUCCCUCUUCCUUUCCUUAAUUCUCCUUUCUCUAAUUCUCUGAACUCCUAUCCUUCCCCCCUCAAUUACUAUGGGUUAGCUCACACAUUUUUUUUUUUUUUUUUACAUUGGCUUUCAUUUGAUCAAGUAAAUCCAUACAUCCAACUUUAUUCAGUUGAUUAAUUUUGGUAACAGAUUGAGCCCGGUGGCAUGCCACAUCCCCGGUCCCUUUAAUUUUUUUAAAACACAUUUGUAUUUGUAGAUGGACACAAUAUAUUUUAUUUUAUGUUUUAAUUUUUAUGUGGUGCUGGGGAUCAAACCCAGUGCUUCACAUGUGCUAGGCAAGUGCUCUACCAUUUUACUAUAGCCCCAGCCCCCACCCCAGUCCCUUUAAUUUUUGAGACCAGGUCUUACACUUUAGAGUGGCCUAGAAAUUGGUAUUCUCCUGCCCUAGCCACUGGAGUAGCUGGGAUUACAGACAUGGGUUAUCACAUACAGCUCUCAACUUCCCUUUACAUUUUUCCUCCACCAUUGUUUCAUUAAUUCAUUGGUGUUAAAAAUAAUAAUAACCCUUUAAACAUAUGCUGAAACUUUAGUCUGUGCGAUAUAUUCCUUUAUUCAUCUUUUUUCUGUCUCUUCCUUUGUUAUGAUCUUAUUUUUAUAACAGUCAAUUCAUAGUAAAAUUAUCUGAUAGUGCCCAUGCUCAUAUUUUCCCCAGAAUUUUGCAAUUUUGAACUUUGAAAGAUGUAAAUAGGAAAUUUUACUGAAUAAUGAUAAGUUGGUUUGGAGAAAUCUGUAACCUGACUUGUUUGACUUUUUGUUUUUCAAUGCUUUUAAUUCAGAGACUUGUACAUGCUAGGCAAGCACUCCAACACUGAACUCCACCUCUAGUUUAUGAAUUCAUAAAAGUAUUUUUCUAUAUUUUCCUAAAAUGUGAUCUAUAAUUUAUUUAUCUAUUGUUUUUAAAAGAAGAUUUUCUGCUUAGAAUGAAAUUCCUAAUAGUUAAAACACAGUAAAAUAAAUAGGGCAUAUUUUUUAUGUUCAUAUAUGAAUGUGUGACCAGUGAAAUUUUGCAUCAUGUAUGACAGCAAGAAUGAGAUUUUAAUUAAAUUUUACUCCAUGUAUAUAUAAUUUGUCAAAAUACACUCUACUGUUGUGUAUAACUGAAAAGAACAAAAACAUGAAAUUCUUUCUCUUCCUCCUCCCUUUUUCUAAUUGAUUUGCAAUAAGUAUGAAGCAAUUAUGCUGCUGGCAGUCUGUAUGUCUCAUUAUUGACUGCCUGACACACCCAGAGUAGUUAGUAAAAGACACCACCUGUGACAAAACAUAAAAACAGAUAUAUUUCUUGCUCAGUGUUCUAGGUGAUUAUCUUCUAAAUGUUUACUGAGGAUUAUUUGUUCCAUUUUAGAAUACAACUGACUUAAGAUGAGACCCUGGGUUGGAGUAGGAGCUCAGUGGUAGAACAUGUUCCUCCCAAGCAUGAGGGCCUGAAUUUCAUCCUCAUCACUGUAAAAUAUGUACCUCUAAAUUUGCUAUAUAGUUUCAUACAUUGUAAAAUUUUUUAGGCCAAGCCUGGAAAUAUGAUGUUCUUUCACAUUUUCAGUGUGUGCAAAAAUUACAGGCCACCAUCAAUAGAGAGCCAAAUUGAAAGGUAAAUGGUCCUUUAAUGAGCAAGCCAGUCAGGCAGCUGGGGGCUAGAUAGCACCACAAAGAAAUCUGAGCAAUUGAAGUUUGAAAGAACAGAGUUUAUAAAGGCAAAUACUACAAAACAACAGUGACAGCUGGGCUGAUAUAAAGUCGUUGUUGAGACAAAUACUUUGAUUACAUGAAAAAUUAUUUUAAUUAUAUAUUUCAGAGUUAUUUUUGUUAUACAUCAAGGCCCCAUAAUGGUCCUAAUGUACUGUCACUAUAGACACAGCUGGUAGGGGGCUGAAAAGAAAACAUUUUAAGCAAGCGUAAAAUGUAGUCAGGACAGAACAAAAUGGCAUUACUUUGGUUCUUUUAUAUUUCAAUUAAUUUUUGUGGAGUUUCAUGCAUGGUAGAUUUCUGUAGGCCAAACUUGGAAGUACUGUGUUCUCCCACAUUCUAUCUUAGAUGCAAAGGGGCAGAAAAAAUGGAGUCUUUUUUGUCUCUUCCAGUAAAAUAAAAUAAAACUGUCUCUGCUAUGGUAGUUGGUCAAACUGUUAUUUUAUUUAUUGGUUGAUUCUCUUGACUUUCUUAGGCUCUCAUUAGAGCAGCAUGUGAUCACUUUAUUGCAUUUUUUUCCUAUUUCUUUUUACUAAUACAUCGUAGAGUAUUUGCAGAACAAAUCUAACUGUGAUAGUGGUCCUUUUUGUUACUUUUCAUUUUAAUGAAAACAAUAUUGUAUGUAAUCUAUAAUAUCAUAUAUUAGCAAAUUAAAGAAC